UAGUCCUCCCAGUCUCUACCAGAAUCACCUGCUAAACUGUGCUUUCAGCAUCUUAAGCUUUUUCUAGCUUGCUUCUUCUACCUUUUCCAGAUUCUUCCCAUGAACAAGUUCCUGGGACUGCAUUGCACUGUUUCAGGGAAUCACAACUAAUUCUGCCUUCAGUCUCAGAGACUUUGGACUACUGAGCAUCACCAGAACAGUGAAAACUGGGAACUCUUGGAGGACUAAAAUAUCUUGGCAUAUAACGGACACCGAAUUGGCAUUCCUGGGGAAAAGAAUGAGUACUGACUCUGAGAAAAUUCAUUUUUUUUUUAUGGUUCCUGCCUUGAGGUGAUUAUAAAUAGAGUUGAGAGAAAGAACUGUGAAUUCUGACCAGAGUGAGACUAGGAACUUGCAGUUCGCCUUGGCCUCUGAACCAGACAA